CCUACGGGGGGCAGCAGUGAGGAAUAUUGGUCAAUGGACGAGAGUCUGAACCAGCCAAGUAGCGUGAAGGAUGACUGCCCUAUGGGUUGUAAACUUCUUUUAUAUGGGAAUAAAAUGUUCCACGUGUGGGAUUUUGUAUGUACCAUAUGAAUAAGGAUCGGCUAACUCCGUGCCAGCAGCCGCGGUAAUACGGAGGAUCCGAGCGUUAUCCGGAGUUAUUGGGUUUAAAGGGAGCGUAGGUGGAUUGUUAAGUCAGUUGUGAAAGUUUGCGGCUCAACCGUAAAAUUGCAGUUGAAACUGGCAGUCGUGAGUACAGUAGAGGUGGGCGGAAUUCGUGGUGUAGCGGUGAAAUGCUUAGAUAUCACGAAGAACUCCGAUUGCGAAGGCAGCUCACUGGACUGCAACUGACACUGAGGCUCGAAAGUGUGGGUAUCAAACAGGAUUAGAUACCCCUGUAGUC
rnacentral:rRNA from 1 species